rnacentral:rRNA from 1 species
CCUACGGGAGGCAGCAGUGAGGAAUAUUGGUCAAUGGACGAGAGUCUGAACCAGCCAAGUAGCGUGAAGGAUGACUGCCCUAUGGGUUGUAAACUUCUUUUAUAUGGGAAUAAAAUGUUCCACGUGUGGGAUUUUGUAUGUACCAUAUGAAUAAGGAUCGGCUAACUCCGUGCCAGCAGCCGCGGUAAUACGGAGGAUCCGAGCGUUAUCCGGAUUUAUUGGGUUUAAAGGGAGCGUAGGUGGAUUGUUAAGUCAGUUGUGAAAGUUUGCGGCUCAACCGUAAAAUUGCAGUUGAAACUGGCAGUCUGGAGUACAGUAGAGGUGGGCGGAAUGCGGGGUGUAGCGGUGAAAUGCUUAGAUAUCACGAAGAACUCCGAUUGCGAAGGCAGCUCACUGGACUGCAACUGACACUGAGGCUCGAAAGUGUGGGUAUCAAACAGGAUUAGAUACCCCAGUAGUC